rnacentral:snRNA from 1 species
GUGCUCGCUUCAGCAGCACAUAUACUAAAAUUGGAACGAUACAGAGAAGAUCAGCAUGGCCCCUGCGCAAGGAUGACAUGCAAAAAAAA